GUGAGGAAUAUUGGACAAUGGACGCAAGCCUGAUCCAGCCAUGCCGCGUGCAGGAAGACGCAUCUAUGGUGUGUAAACUGCUUUUGUACGGGAAGAAACACUCCCUCGUGAGGGAGCUUGACGGUACCGUAAGAAUAAGGAUCGGCUAACUCCGUGCCAGCAGCCGCGGUAAUACGGAGGAUCCAAGCGUUAUCCGGAAUCAUUGGGUUUAAAGGGUCCGUAGGCGGUUUAAUAAGUCAGUGGUGAAAGCCCAUCGCUCAACGAUGGAACGGCCAUUGAUACUGUUAGACUUGAAUUACAAGGAAGUAACUAGAAUAUGUAGUGUAGCGGUGAAAUGCUUAGAUAUUACAUGGAAUACCAAUUGCGAAGGCAGGUUACUACUUGUGGAUUGACGCUGAUGGACGAAAGCGUGGGGAGCGAACAGGAUUAGAAACCCUGGUAGUCC
rnacentral:rRNA from 1 species